CCUACGGGGGACAGCAGUGGGGAAUAUUGCGCAAUGGGCGAAAGCCUGACGCAGCGACGCCGCGUGAGGGAUGAAGGUCUUCGGAUCGUAAACCUCUGUCAGCAGGGAAGAACGGUCACUGUGCUAAUCAGCAGUGAAUUGACGGUACCUGCAAAGGAAGCACCGGCUAACUCCGUGCCAGCAGCCGCGGUAAUACGGAGGGUGCGAGCGUUAAUCGGAAUUACUGGGCGUAAAGCGCUCGUAGGCGGUAUGUCAAGUCAAGGGUGAAAUCCCCGGGCUCAACGUGGGAACUGCCUUGGAAACUGGCAAACUGGAGUGUGUGGGAGGAUGGUGGAAUUCCAGGUGUAGGAGUGAAAUGCGUAGAUAUCUGGAGGAACAUCAGUGGCGAAGGCGACUAUCUGGCACAUAACUGACGCUGAGGAGCGAAAGCGUGGGUAGCAAACAGGAUUAGAUACCCGAGUAGUC
rnacentral:rRNA from 1 species